CCCAAAAAUUAUUCCAAAGGAAAAAAAAAAAAGACGAGAGCAAACUAUCUGUGCUGACCGUGCCUGCGCCACCCGUUGUGGGGUCAUUUUGCAUUUUACCUGGCAAGCCACAUUCUCCUUUUACAAGCAAAUAUUAUUUUUAAAGGUUACUGCGAGUCUGCAGUGCUAAUGCAUUUGGGUCAGGAUUUUUCUACUCCAAAACCACUGUUUAGUGACAAAAAGACACUUAGGAGAAAUCCCUUCCACCUUAGGUUGUAUUUCCGAUGUGAUCCGCCCCACGCAUCUGACGGCUGCAGUGGGUAGAGGCAGGAAGCAGGGAUACAGGGUGCCAGGCUGGAUGCUUCCCCAGCAUGAUGGGAGGCCGUGCAAUGUGAUUACCAGCCUAGGGAGAGCGGAACAUUGCACAGGUUUACAUGCACCAUCCGUCACUUGCUGACCGUGUUGUUUUCUCUUCGCACACUUGUAUGGAAAUUGAACUACAAAACAUUCCUAUGAACUGCUCCCUGAUGUGCAAAUAUAGCUUUAAAUGACUUCUCUAGGAAAGAAUCCUCACUAUUUUAUACAAAUUGUCUUGCAUGUUUAUUACACAGAAUCAUGAUCCAAAAAGAAGGGGAUUCAACCCAUGCCUAUUCAUAACACUGCUCUCCCUUAUGCAUUAUGAGCUGAAACAUACUCCAGGCCCCCUUGCAUGAUGAAUGAUACUUACUUUCCUCUUUGCUUCCAGCCUGCUCUGAUUUGCUUAUUUAUGGAACUUCAGUGUGCUGAUGGAAACCCUUCUCACCCAGUUUCUCCAUGAGCCAGAGCACAUCACAGGAACUGGGCUUGCAAUGAGCAGUUUGGAGGGGGAGCAGUAAGGCUGGAAACACUGCUCCUGGCCUCACCACGGGGCAAAGACAACCUGGCACUGCCAGCUCCAGAUCUGCUGAGCUUCCCACCAACAUUCUUGCCACCAGCUGGCAGUUUAUCCACCACAUUUGAAGUCCUCUCUCGCACCCCGUGUCUCAGAACAGAGCACCAGGCUGGACAUAGGGCCACACAGAUGCACGGGUGCCCACCUGCCCACCCUGUGGAUGCUGUGCCUGGGAGGUAUGAGCAGGACGUCUCCUGCUGUAUUUUUGCUUGACUGGCUCGGCCAGCCCAUUCCACUGUCUGCACACAGCCCCGGAGAGAGUGGAAGGAAACAAUGUGCUGGACAGCCAAGCCAAACACCAGGAGGUCAAACACUGCAGCACGGCUUCUCGGAGACUACACACACACCCCAUGCAAGUCCACUUGUCUCCUGGCACAGGAGCAUCUCGCAGAGCCUCAUGCUAACACCACAGCCACAAAUGCCGGCUCCUGACCCUGGGCUCCAGGACAAGCUCCUUCCCCAUCCAGAGACGAGGAUUUUGCAGCGCAGGUGGGAACAAGGUGCUGGAGUGGGCAGUCCCAGUGCAAAGCGCAGCUCCCCCUUCCCCAGCAGCACGGACCACUUGGCAAAGGCAGUUAAAAAACCCCCAACAGUACAAAGUGAGAGCGCUCAGCCCGGGGAAAUCUUAACAUGAAGCUGCAGCACAUUUCAGUGCACGUGAAUGGUGCGAGUACUCGGCCUGGAGGCUGUGGGUACCCAUCACACCUGCAGACACCAGCUGGCACCUCAUGGGUACCCGGGGUCCCGAGACCUCCCUUGACUCAUUCCCUGGAAAAAGUGGAAUCCCACUCAUUGAAGAUAAAAACGGAGGCCACGCAAUGAGCUUGUUCCACCUUGCAGGGAAAGCACCUUCCUGAAUUCCCUUAUUUCUCAAGGAGGUUCAGUGUCUCCACACGGGAGUCGAUGGGUGAUGGUGUACCUACAAGGGAAACCACACUGAGUUUCAACCCUGUUUGUAGUUAAACAUAUGUUUAAAAUAAAAUUAAAAAAAUAUUUAAAA